AAUUUCUGCUUGGCUUCUCUCCAAAACCUACGACCU
rnacentral:tRNA from 1 species